rnacentral:misc_RNA from 1 species
GAUGAAGAACGUAGCGAAAUGCGAUAAGUAAUGUGAAUUGCAGAAUCCAGUGAAUCAUCGAAUCUUUGAACGCACAUUGCGCCCGCCAGCAUUCUGGCGGGCAUGCCUGUUCGAGCGUCAUUUCAACCCUCGACCUCCCUUUGGGGAAGUCGGCGUUGGGGACCGGCAGCACACCGCCGGCCCUGAAAUGGAGUGGCGGCCCGUCCGCGGCGACCUCUGCGUAGUAAACCAACUCGCACCGGAACCCCGACGUGGCCACGCCGUAAAACACCCAACUUCUGAACGUUGACCUCGAAUCAGGUAGGACUACCCGCUGAACUUAAGCAUAUCAAGCGGAGGA